GGGGAGGAUAACUGGCAGUUCCACCGGAACUGAACUGAAACCUACGUGAUCUACAGGUUACGUGGCGGACGGGUGAGUAACGCGUGGAAAACCUGCCGUAUACUGGGGGAUAACACUUAGAAAUAGGUGCUAAUACCGCAUAAGCGCACAGGCCCGCAUGGGACAGUGUGAAAAACUCCGGUGGUAUACGAUGGUUCCGCGUCUGAUUAGCUUGUUGGCGGGGUAACGGCCCACCAAGGCGACGAUCAGUAGCCGGCCUGAGAGGGUGAACGGCCACAUUGGGACUGAGACACGGCCCAGACUCCUACGGGAGGCAGCGGUGGGGAAUAUUGCACAAUGGGGGAAACCCUGAUGCAGCGACGCCGCGUGAGUGAAGAAGUAUCUCGGUACGUAAAGCUCUAUCAGCAGGGAAGAAAAAAAGUCUUUGGCUUUGGACGGUACCUGACUAAGAAGCCCCGGCUAACUACGUGCCAGCAGCCGCGGUAAUACGUAGGGGGCAAGCGUUAUCCGGAUUUACUGGGUGUAAAGGGAGCGUAGACGGCAGCGCAAGUCUGGAGUGAAAUGCCGGGGCUCAACCCCGGAACUGCUUUGGAAACUGUGCAGCUAGAGUGCGGGAGAGGUAAGCGGAAUUCCUAGUGUAGCGGUGAAAUGCGUAGAUAUUAGGAGGGACACCAGUGGCGAAGGCGGCUUACUGGACCGUAACUGACGUUGAGGCUCGAAAGCGUGGGGAGCAAACAGGAUUANAUACCC
rnacentral:rRNA from 1 species